GAGAGACACCAUGUAGCCACUGA
rnacentral:piRNA from 1 species